rnacentral:rRNA from 1 species
UACGAAGGGGGCUAGCGUUGUUCGGAAUUACUGGGCGUAAAGCGCACGUAGGCGGACAUUUAAGUCAGGGGUGAAAUCCCGGAGCUCAACUCCGGAACUGCCUUUGAUACUGGGUGUCUUGAGUGUGGAAGAGGUGAGUGGAAUUCCGAGUGUAGAGGUGAAAUUCGUAGAUAUUCGGAGGAACACCAGUGGCGAAGGCGGCUCACUGGUCCAUUACUGACGCUGAGGUGCGAAAGCGUGGGGAGCAACAGG